rnacentral:rRNA from 1 species
UCCGUAGGCGGUGCGGCAAGUCGGAAGUGAAAUCUCAGGGCUUAACCCUGAGGCUGCUUCCGAAACUGCCGUGCUCGAGUGCGAGAGAGGCGAGUGGAAUUGCAGGUGUAGCGGUGAGAUGCGUAGAUAUCUGCAGGAACAUCCGAGGCGAAAGCGGCUCGCUGGAUCGCAACUGACGCUGAGGGACGAAAGCUAGGGGAGCAAACAGGAUUAGAUACCCUGGUAGUCCUAGCCCUAAACGAUCAGGACUGGGCGUGGGCCUCGUACGGGGCUCGUGCCGCAGCUAACGCGUUAAGUCCUGCGCCUGGGGAGUACGGUCGCAAGGCUGAA